rnacentral:rRNA from 1 species
GGUAGUCCACCCCGUAAACGUUGGGAACUAGUUGUGGGGACCAUUCCACGGUUUCCGUGACGCAGCUAACGCAUUAAGUUCCCCGCCUGGGGAGUACGGCCGCAAGGCUAAAACUCAAAGGAAUUGACGGGGACCCGCACAAGCGGCGGAGCAUGCGGAUUAAUUCGAUGCAACGCGAAGAACCUUACCAAGGCUUGACAUACACCAGAACACCGUAGAAAUACGGGACUCUUUGGACACUGGUGAACAGGUGGUGCAUGGUUGUCGUCAGCUCGUGUCGUGAGAUGUUGGGUUAAGUCCCGCAACGAGCGCAACCCUCGUUCUAUGUUGCCAGCACGUAAUGGUGGGAACUCAUGGGAUACUGCCGGGGUCAACUCGGAGGAAGGUGGGGAUGACGUCAAAUCAUCAUGCCCCUUAUGUCUUGGGCUUCACGCAUGCUACAAUGGCCGGUACAAAGGGCUGCAAUACCGUGAGGUGGAGCGAAUCCCAAAAAGCCGGUCCCAGUUCGGAUUGAGGUCUGCAACUCGACCUCAUGAAGUCGGAGUCGCUAGUAAUCGCAGAUCAGCAACGCUGCGGUGAAUACGUUCCCGGGUCUUGUACACACCGCCCGUCAAGUCAUGAAAGUCGGUAACACCUGAAGCCGGUGGCCCAAUCCUUGUGGAGGGAGCCGUCGAAGGUGGGAUCGGUAAUUAGGACUAAGUCGUAACAAGGUAGCCGUACCGGAAGGUGC